GACAGAGGGUGCAAACGUUGUUCGGAAUUACUGGGCGUAAAGCGCGUGUAGGCGGUCUCGUAAGUCGGGUGUGAAAGCCCUGGGCUCAACCCAGGAAGUGCACUCGAAACUGCGAGGCUAGAGUACUGGAGAGGUUGGUGGAAUUCUCGGUGUAGAGGUGAAAUUCGUAGAUAUCGAGAGGAACACCGGUGGCGAAGGCGGCCAACUGGACAGAUACUGACGCUGAGACUCGAAAGCGUGGGGAGCAAACAGG
rnacentral:rRNA from 1 species